GCCUGCUCAGGGCUACAGGGAUUCCUGAUUUUCCACAGCUUUGGCGGGGGCACUGGCUCUGGUUUUACCUCCUUACUGAUGGAACGCCUCUCUCUGGACUAUGGAAAGAAGUCCAAGCUAGAGUUUGCCAUCUACCCUGCUCCCCAGGUCUCCACUGCUGUCGUGGAGCCCUACAAUUCCAUUCUGACCACACACACCACCCUGGAGCACUCAGACUGCGCCUUCAUGGUUGAUAAUGAAGCCAUCUAUGAUAUCUGCCGACGAAACUUGGACAUCGAGCGCCCAACUUACACCAACCUCAACCGCCUCAUCAGCCAGAUUGUCUCCUCCAUCACCGCCUCGCUGCGCUUCGAUGGGGCCCUCAACGUGGACCUCACCGAGUUCCAGACAAACCUGGUGCCCUACCCGCGCAUCCACUUCCCCUUAGUGACCUACGCCCCCAUCAUCUCUUCUGAGAGAGCCUAUCACGAGCAGCUCUCGGUGGCAGAAAUCACCAGCUCCUGCUUCGAGCCCAACAACCAGAUGGUGAAGUGUGACCCGCGGCACGGCAAGUACAUGGCUUGCUGCAUGCUCUAUCGUGGCGACGUGGUUCCCAAGGACGUCAACGUAGCAAUUGCUGCCAUCAAGACCAAGAGAGCUAUCCAGUUUGUGGACUGGUGUCCAACAGGCUUCAAGGUGAGUGUGCUUCUCUGUGAUGUUUAA